rnacentral:tRNA from 1 species
AAAGUAGCUCAGUGGUAGAGCAGCUCACUCGUAAUGAGCAGGUCGCGGGUUCGACUCCCAUCUUUG